rnacentral:misc_RNA from 1 species
ACCUUACAUGAUGUCAAAAGCACCUGAAAACCAACACAAAGUUAUCUCUCAUCUAUACCAGAAUAACCAAGCACCUUAUGUAAAAUAAUAUAUCAAGCUAAGAAGGAAAAGAGAUCAAAUAUCUUAACCAUAAAAUAUCUGAGGACAAUCAGCUUAGUGCAGUUGGUGGAGUAAAUGGUGGAAUGAGAUUAUAAUUUUUUAGAAAUUUCCCAACUCCAAAGCACUAACCUAUAAUUGUAGAGAAACUGCAUAGAUA